rnacentral:rRNA from 1 species
GAUAAACGCUAGCGGCAGGCCUAACACAUGCAAGUCGAACGGUAACAGGAAUAGCUUGCUAUUCGCUGACGAGUGGCGCACGGGUGCGUAACGCGUAUGCAACUUACCUUUAACUGAGGAAUAGCUCAGAGAAAUCUGAAUUAAUACCUCAUAGUAUUGAAAAAUCGCAUGAUUUUUCAAUUAAAGCUCCGGCGGUUAAAGAUAGGCAUGCGUGACAUUAGUUAGUUGGUGAGGUAACGGCUCACCAAGACUUCGAUGUCUAGGGGGUCUGAGAGGAUGAUCCCCCACACUGGUACUGAGACACGGACCAGACUCCUACGGGAGGCAGCAGUGAGGAAUAUUGGUCAAUGGACGAAAGUCUGAACCAGCCAUGCCGCGUGCAGGAUGACGGCCCUACGGGUUGUAAACUGCUUUUAUUUGGGAAGAAACCCUUGUACGUGUACGAGGCUGACGGUACCAAAUGAAUAAGCAUCGGCUAACUCCGUGCCAG